AUUGAACGCUGGCGGCAUGCCUUACACAUGCAAGUCGAACGGUAACAGGUUAAGCUGUCGAGUGGCGAACGGGUGAGUAAUGUAUCGGAACGUGCCCAGUCGUGGGGUAUAACUGCUCGAAAGAGCAGCUAAUACCGCAUACGACCUGAGGGUGAACGCGGGGGAUCGCAAGACCUCGCGCGAUUGGAGCGGCCGAUAUCAGAUUAGGUAGUUGGUGAGGUAAAGGCUCACCAAGCCGACGAUCUGUAGCUGGUCUGAGAGGACGACCAGCCACACUGGGACUGAGACACGGCCCAGACUCCUACGGGAGGCAGCAGUGGGGAAUUUUGGACAAUGGGCGCAAGCCUGAUCCAGCCAUGCCGCGUGCGGGAAGAAGGCCUUCGGGUUGUAAACCGCUUUUGUCAGGGAAGAAAAGGUUCUGGCUAAUACCUGGGACUCAUGACGGUACCUGAAGAAUAAGCACCGGCUAACUACGUG
rnacentral:rRNA from 1 species